AUGCACUACCUUUGAGCCCCUGACGUGCCUCCUCAAGCCACAGGGGGUUAAAGCUGCAGCACCAUAGCAGGGCUAGCUCAUUACUGGAGCCACCUGCCCAUCACGGGCGGCCCUUUUAACCACCAGCUACAAGG
ensembl:snoRNA